rnacentral:rRNA from 1 species
UUAGAGUUUGAUCAUGGCUCAGGACGAACGCUGGCGGCGUGCCUAAUACAUGCAAGUCGAACGCGUCCCGGUUGAUGAGGUUGAGUGCUUGCACUUGAUUGAUUCAACUUGGUGACGAGUGGCGAACCGGUGAGUAACACGUGGGUAACCUGCCCCGAAGCGGGGGAUAUCAUUUGGAAACAGGUGCUAAUACCGCAUAACAACCAAAACCUCCUGGUUUUGGUUUAAAAGACGGCUUCGGCUGUCACUUUGGGAUGGACCCGCGGCGUAUUAGCUAGUUGGUGAGGUAACGGCUCACCAAGGCGAUGAUACGUAGCCGACCUGAGAGGGUAAUCGGCCACAUUGGGACUGAGACACGGCCCAAACUCCUACGGGAGGCAGCAGUAGGGAAUCUUCCACAAUGGACGCAAGUCUGACGGAGCAACGCCGCGUGAGUGAUGAAGGGUUUCGGCUCGUAAAACUCUGUUGUUGGAGAAGAACGGGUGUCAGAGUAACUGUUGACAUCGUGACGGUAUCCAACCAGAAAGCCACGGCUAACUACGUGCCAGCAGCCGCGGUAAUACGUAGGUGGCAAGCGUUGUCCGGAUUUAUUGGGCGUAAAGCGAGCGCAGGCGGUUUUUUAGGUCUGAUGUGAAAGCCUUCGGCUUAACCGGAGAAGUGCAUCGGAAACCGGGAGACUUGAGUGCAGAAGAGGACAGUGGAACUCCAUGUGUAGCGGUGAAAUGCGUAGAUAUAUGGAAGAACACCAGUGGCGAAAGCGGCUGUCUGGUCUGCAACUGACGCUGAGGCUCGAAAGCAUGGGUAGCGAACAGGAUUAGAUACCCUG